GACGAACGCUGGCGGCGUGCUUAACACAUGCAAGUCGAACGAGUGGCGAACGGGUGAGUAAUACGUUAGUAACCUGCCCUCUUUUUGGGAUCAGCCUUGGAAACGGGGUCUAAUACCGAAUAAAGGGGGUUGGGCUCGCGGCCUAUCAGCUGUUUGGUGGGGUGAUGGCCUACCAAGGCGGUGACGGGUAGUCGGCCUGUGGGGGUGACCGGCCACAUGAGGACUGGGGUACGUCCCAGAAGCCGACGUGAGGAAGCAGUUGGGGAGAUUGCAAAAGGGGCGAAAGGCUGAUGCAGCUACGCCGCGGGGGGGAUGAAGGCGUUCGGGUUGUAAACCUCUUUCGCUAGCGAACGGGUAGGUGGAGAAGAAGCGACGGGUAACUACGUGCCAGCAGCCGCGGUAAUUC
rnacentral:rRNA from 1 species